UUUUGCCGACCUGGUGGUUAUCGCGGGGCGGCUGCACCCGUUCCCUUUCCGAACACGGCCGUGAAACGCCCCAGCGCCAAUGGUACUUCGUCUCAAGACGCGGGAGAGUAGGUCGCUGCCAGGUCUGCAAAACGCAACACAAA
rnacentral:rRNA from 1 species